rnacentral:rRNA from 1 species
GAUGAACGCUGGCGGCGUACCUAAUACAUGCAAGUCGAGCGAACAGACGAGGAGCUUGCUCCUCUGACGUUAGCGGCGGACGGGUGAGUAACACGUGGAUAACCUACCUAUAAGACUGGGAUAACUUCGGGAAACCGGAGCUAAUACCGGAUAAUAUAUUGAACCGCAUGGUUCAAUAGUGAAAGACGGUUUUGCUGUCACUUAUAGAUGGAUCCGCGCCGCAUUAGCUAGUUGGUAAGGUAACGGCUUACCAAGGCAACGAUGCGUAGCCGACCUGAGAGGGUGAUCGGCCACACUGGAACUGAGACACGGUCCAGACUCCUACGGGAGGCAGCAGUAGGGAAUCUUCCGCAAAGGGCGAAAGCUUGACGGAGCAACGCCGCGUGAGUGAUGAAGGUCUUCGGAUCGUAAAACUCUGUUAUUAGGGAAGAACAAAUGUGUAAGUAACUAUGCACGUCUUGACGGUACCUAAUCAGAAAGCCACGGCUAACUACGUG